GAGGGUAUAGCUCAGUAAUAGAGCAUGUGCAUAGCAUGCAUGAGGUCCUGAGUUCAAUCCCCAGUACCUCCA
rnacentral:tRNA from 1 species